CCUACGGGAGGCAGCAGUAGGGAAUUUUGCGCAAUGGGCGAAAGCCUGACGCAGCAACGCCGCGUGAUCGAGACGCCCUUCGGGGUGUAAAGAUCUGUCAGUUGGAACGAAACAUGACGGUACCUACAGAGGAAGCACCGGCUAACUCCGUGCCAGCAGCCGCGGUAAUACGGAGGAUGCGAGCGUUAUCCGGAUUCAUUGGGGUUAAAGGGUGCGUAGGCGGGAUGCCAAGUCAGCGGUAAAACUGGGGGGUUAAACGCCGUCGAGCCGUUGAAACUGGCGCUCUUGAGUGUGCGAGAAGUAGGCGGAAUGCGUGGUGUAGCGGUGAAAUGCAUAGAGAUCAAGAAGAACUCCGAUUGCGAAGGCAGCCUACCGGCGCACUACUGACGCUGAGGCACGAAAGCGUGGGUAUCAAACAGGAUUAGAUACCCGAGUAGUC
rnacentral:rRNA from 1 species